rnacentral:rRNA from 1 species
UACGAAGGGGGCUAGCGUUGUUCGGAAUUACUGGGCGUAAAGCGCACGUAGGCGGGUUGUUAAGUCAGGGGUGAAACCCUGGAGCUCAACUCCAGAACUGCCUUUGAUACUGGCAACCUAGAGACUGGAAGAGGUUAGUGGAAUUCCUAGUGUAGAGGUGAAAUUCGUAGAUAUUGGGAAGAACACCAGUGGCGAAGGCGGCUAACUGGUCCAGCACUGACGCUGAGGUGCGAAAGCGUGGGGAGCAAACAGG